UGGGUGGUCCCCCAUUUGUCUUGUUCAUUUAAUCUUCUUUUUUAAUUUCUUUUCUUUUCUUUUUUAUAAUUUGUUUUAUUUAACUAAAUUUAGAGUUUAUGGAUUAACUUGGACAUUGGUCCCCUUUUACUUACCUUAACCAUUUAUUCCAAUUUAGCAUUCCUUAGGUCUUUUACAAUUUUAAUUAGUUUAUUUUUGUUUCAAUUUUAAUUGACUUGUUUAGUUUAUAUUUAAUUUAAUAUAAUAAUUAAUAAAAAUACAAACAAAUGCACCUUUUUUUUACGUAAAGAAAAAAAUAAAUGUGGUUUGUACAUAAUUUUAGGAUUCUCUAUUAAAUCAAAAUA
rnacentral:lncRNA from 1 species